rnacentral:lncRNA from 1 species
UCACCCCGUGGGCUCUGGUUCGCAGGGACAGUGUGACGUCCCAGCGCCCAUGUUUGUUAGCUGAGAGUCACAGACCCCACCGCACCCCUAACCCCAGCCGCCACCUGCCUGGUUCCUGUGACUAUAAGUCUGUCUGUUUCCAAAGGCCUCCGGCCUUCACAGCUCGUGGCCCCUUGAGAUUGAGUGUUUGCAUCAGCAUGAUGCCCCUAGGGACCACCUAUGCGCUUGUCAACAGUUUCUUUAUUUUAUUGAUAAAAGCCUCCCAUGGGGUUCACAGACGACUGUGUAUGUAGCCAUCACCAGUGAGGAAUGUUUUAGUUUCCAGUUUUGCCAUGAGAGCUAAGGCUCCCGUGAACAAUGCAAGCACACACGUGUGUAUGCGUGUGCAGACGUGAGUUUUCACUUUUCUGGGAUGAAUGCCUGGGAGUGUGAUACUGGGUCCCAGGGUAAGUGUAUGCUUAGUUUUUUUAAAUUUUUUUAAGAAACUGCCAAGCCAUGUUCUGGCGUGGUCGCCCCUUCUGCAGUCCCGCAGCAGUGUGCUUGUGUGAUCACCAGCCUGUGGCGUCGUCAAUAUUUUUCAUUUCCGCUGUAUUAACAGGAGCGCGGCCGUAUCUCGCGAUCGCCCCCACAGGCGCCCUCCGACCGCUGCCGCGCUGGCCGUCUUACACGGCUCGUUGGCCGCCCGUGUCUCCCCUUCCUGACCUGCCUUCUGCCCAUUUUGUCUCUGUGGGGUCGAGUUCUGAGCGCUCUUUUUAUCUUCUGAACGUGAGUCGUUUGUCAGAGACACGAACUGCAGAUACUUUCCCCUAACCGGUCGCUUAUCUUUUCGUCCUCUUUAUGGGAGCUUCUGCAGGGCAAGAGUUUCAGAUCUUAAUGAUUAAAAAUCGAAAGCGGCACGCUUCUGAUGUUGCAUCUCAGAGCUCGGCCGAGUCCAGAAGGCCUUCUUCUGUCUCUGCUUGUGAAAGUUUUCGGUUUUAUAUUGUUUAACUCUGGGAUCCAGUGUGAGUGAGUGUUUUAAGGAGGUGGUGUGAGGCUCAGGUCGAGGGCCUGGGUGCCUAAUUGUUCCAACCGGUGGCUUUGUUUAGAAGACUCUGCNNNNNNNNNNUCUGCGGCCCGGCUGGUGUCUUCCCGUGUGUGCGGCCGUGUGUGGGCCCCGUUCCGCUCCCCUCGCUGGGUGUCCACCUCCCCAGCAUCCCUUCUGAACCACAGCAACUUUGCCGUAAGUUGGUGUGAUUCCUCCAACCAAAGUCUUAAAAAAAUUUUUUUUAAUUAGCUAUGCGAGCUCUUUUACCUUCCCUACAAAUUUUAGAAUCUAUUUCUACCAAAAAAAAAAAGUUUUCCUGUGUUUUCAAAGGAACUGUGUUAAACGUAUAUAG